rnacentral:rRNA from 1 species
GUAACCUGCCUUAUAGUGGGGGAUAGCCUUUCGAAAGGAAGAUUAAUACCGCAUAAGAUUGUAGUAUCGCAUGAUAUAGCAAUUAAAGGAGCAAUUCGCUAUAAGAUGGACCCGCGUCGCAUUAGCUAGUUGGUGAGGUAAUGGCUCACCAAGGCGACGAUGCGUAGCCGACCUGAGAGGGUGAUCGGCCACAUUGGGACUGAGACACGGCCCAGACUCCUACGGGAGGCAGCAUG